rnacentral:lncRNA from 10 species
GUUAACAUGCGGAUCCUGUUAGUAGAUCUGGGAUGGGUUGAGAGUCUGCCUUUCUAACAGGCUUUUGGGUGAUGUCGAUGCUGCUGGUCCAGGGACCAUACCUCUACUCAGAAGGCCUAACACUGUAUGCCACUUUGGUGUGACAAGAUGAAACACUUUGAGCUUCCUCAGGAUCUUCCUUUCCCAUUUGCCCAGAUGUUCUUCCUCUGGAUCUUUUCUGUUUUUUGUAUUUUUUGUUUUUUAUUUUUCUUUGAGACAGGUCUUACUCUGUCACCCAGGCUGCAGUGCAGUGGCAUGAUCACAGCUCACUGUAGCCUUGACCUCCUGGGCUCAAGCCAUCCUCCCACCUCAGCCUCCUGAGUAGCUGGGACUACAGGCGCACACCACCACACCUGGCUAAUUUUUCAUUUUUUUGUAGAGAUGAGGUCUCACUAUAUUGCCCAGGCUGGUCUCAAACUCCUGGGCUCAAGUGAUCCUCCUACCUUGGCCUACCACAGUGCUAGGAUUACAGGUGUGAGCCACCGCGCCCAGACUUCCUCUAGAUCUUUACUCGGCUGUCUUCCUUUCAUUCCUAUCUCAGCAAAAACGUCACCACCUAGAGAAACUUUGUUUUCUCCCAUGGCCCAAAUCUAAAGUAGCUCCCACUGCCUGUUUUAGCUCUUAGAAGACAGCCUCUGAGAUGAUCUUGUUUUGUAUUUCUCUCUGUCUCUAUGAGAAGAGGAGUUCUGCGAGAACAAAGCCCUUGCACUUGUCUGUCUCUGUCCAGUGCUGUUUCUUCCUCCCACCCUUGGCCGAGCCUAGCAGGAUGCCUAGCACAUAGUAGGUACUCAAAUUGUGUUGAGAAGAAGGUCGCAAUUCCUAUCUCCAAGGGUCCCACUGACUAGAAUGAGAGAUGGAAAAGUCAGUAACUAGUUAUAACUGUGGUGUUGAAAAGCAGUGUGAGAAGGAGUAGACCCCAGGCUGUCUGGGUUCUAAUCCAUGUAACUCUAAAAUCGCUUGUGCCUCAGUUUUCUCAUUAAAAUGAGGUGAAGUAACAGUACCUUUCUUAUACAUCUGUUGUGAGGAUUAAAUCUAAUAAAUGUAAAGCCUGAGCAAAGUACCUGGUAUAGAGUGGACCAUCAGGAAAUGUUAGUUGUGAUGAAGAGGAUGAUGAAGAUGAUGAAAUGGUGGUGGUGGGGAUGGUUAUGGUGAUAGUUGCAGGGGGAGAGCCUAACUUUUCAGGGAGGGCUUCACAUACGAAGUGCACUUUGAGCUGAAUUUCCAAAGGCAAGUAGUAAUGCCUUAGGGCAGUGUCUUAGUUACCAUUGCUGUUUUAUUAGUCUGAUCUUACACUGCUAUAAAGAACUACCUGAGACUGGGUAAUUUAUGAAACAAA